GCGGCAUGUGGGAUCUUCCCGGACCGGGGCACGAACCCGUGUCCCCUGCAUCGGCAGGCGGACUCUCAACCACUGCGCCACCAGGGAAGCCGCAAGUAGUUCUUUUAAAGCCCCAUUUGGUACCAUAUCAUCUGACCUGGCAGGGGGAGCGUUGGAAUUUUUAUUGUUGUUGUUUACUUUGUUUUAUAAUCUGAGUCCAUGUAAAACCAUCUCCUAUGGCUUUCCAGGAGUUAGCUGCUGUGAAACUGUCACACUGUACAUACCAUACUGCAGCUAUGAUACACUAAGUGUUGCUGCUCUGAGUGGAAAAUGGAGUCCUUCAACCAGUAGCAAUGGCAUCACCUGAAAACCUGUUAGAAAAGCAGAAUCCAGGGCUCCACCCAGACCUACAGAAUUAGAAUCUAUAUCGUUUAAUAAGUUCCCCAGGUGCUCCAAAUGCACAUUAAAUUUUGAAUAAUCACUGCUCCAAAGGGCUUCUGAUUCUUUAUAAUAAGAGGAACAACAUUUAAAUAAAUAGGAAAUAGAUAAAGGGUGAACAAUUUGUGAUUUCUCAAGCAUAUGAUGAAGGUGGCUUAAUGGAUUGAGGUAGACUCCACAUUCUCACUUUAAGCUACUAGGAUAUACUGUACUGUCACUAGGAAGAGGAGGAGGCUGCAAAUAUGGAAAGGUUUGAAAAGAUUGGAAACAUUUAGAGUUCCAAGGCAGAGGUGUAUAAAGGUUAUCAUUUUAAGUGGCAAAGAGCACUAGACUCCACUCCCAGUAAAGAAACUGAGUAACUCUCAGUUAACUUCUCGUGGCCUUAGGGUCCUCAUUUGUAAAAACAACCACAAACAAAACCCAGGAAGGCUUAGAGACCAUUUCUCCCAGCUCUAAGAUGUCUUUAUUCAAUUUCCUUUCUUUUGGUAGAAACUGCCUUUUUCUUCAGUACUAUAAAAAAUGUUAAUAUCCCUAGAAGCAGUUAUUAACAGGGUAGGAACUUUAAUUAAUACAAACUGAUUUCUUCCCGGAGGAGAAACCUAGGCCCUGUAAGAAGAGGCAGUAAUGAAACAGGAAAAGAAAGGGAAGGGAGAAAAUAAACACACAUAUACACAGGUAUACUUGUUCUGCAUUAUUUGAUACAUUGUGGACUAUUUUGGCAACAGCCUGUUAAAAGUAUUUCCCCUUUUUUCUUCUUUUUAACCCACUCUUGCCUGCCUCCUAUAACCUUGAGACCCCAUCCCUUCUUUUUUUUUAAUACCAAGUAAAGGAAGAAUGACAGCCAUCAGAUACCAAAUUCACCUACUCGUCAGUUUUGCCCCAUGCCUGGGAGAACAGCAGUAGUGUUGAGCCCCCUUGCAGCCUUGGGAGUGAAGGGACCGCUGUUGUUCCUCAAAAUCAUCUGCACCUGGAUUGGAAUACUUCCACAAACCCGAUUAGGUCCUUCGUGGGGUCACACUUUUCGAAGAAAAGCCGCCGAACCUUACCUACUCAGUUUACUGGGACGCUCCGGGAGGACCUCGAGACACGAGUCCCCAGACAGGUGAAAAGCAGCCAGAAUGGAAGUCCUCAAACACCCCACACUCAAGCCAUCUGGACUGAAUUACUUGCAGUUUUUCACAGGUGCCAAACUUCCUCCUGCAUUACC